rnacentral:rRNA from 1 species
UCUUAUUCACCAUAUCACCCUGCAGCCCAAUAGCGGUCUCUCACUGAAGCUAAGCAGGGCUGAGCCUGGUCAGUACCUGGGUGGGAGACCACACAGGAAAGCUAGGUUGCUGUUGGAA